AUGCCCACACAGCUUCCAUGCUCCCUUCUUGCCCAAUGGCUGGCAAAUGAGUGCUGGAUGCCAGUUACUGCAGCUUGGGCUCAGGUCCAUGACAGCUCUACCCUCUGCUCCCAUCUGGUCAGCACAAGAUGCUUCAAGGGUCUGAGAGAAGGCAACACAGUGUCUCUAGAAGCUUCUGAAAACACAAGAGUAAACAUUACAGCUUUUGGGCAUGUUCCAAGAUAGAAAAACAAACCCUUCUGCAUAGCCUGAAUUUCCUUCUGUUUGGAGACAUGAACACUGUCAACGAUGCUUGCUUCACUGAGGGGAGCAUAUGCAUGGCAAUAUGUCCUUUAAUUACGCAGUCGUGAACUAUUCCUCAAGUAAUGUGGAAUCAUAUCCAUAUUGCUCUGCAAUCUCAGGUCACUGUUGUUCCGUAUGUGCCAGGCAAACACAGGGCUGGAGUACCUUGUGAGGGAAGUACAAGAAUUACACAGUAAUUUGUGAUCAAAAUAUUUGCACAUGUUUGAAUGCUGUUUGUACACCAUACUGAUUUUCGGCUACAAAGGCUCACUUUGUACACUGUGCUUUGUAGGCGGCUCUUCACAGUGUAUUUUUCUAACCAAAAGUGUAGUCCAGCUAUGCUGAGUGGUUAACAGCUGCAGGUUUUGUGUAAUCUGAGAAAGAGUCUGGGGAGAAACAGUGAAUAUGAAUACAUUUUCUAAUUGUGAUGAAUAUAUGUUCUGUUGUGGAUUUAUGAUGAGAAACUGCAAAUUCUGGAUCAUGGUUGACUUUUUCUAGAAUUCCUAGUGACUAGUUAUUAGUCUGUUGAUUUCAGUGACCUCAUUUCAAACUUUAAUUCUUCCAUCUAUACUUGUUUGCACAGGCGUAUUUAGCAGAAUUCUGCAGGGCUCAAAUUUAAUACUGUAAUAGACAAUUUCUUUUCCC
rnacentral:lncRNA from 1 species